GUCCUGGCUGAGCUGGAUUACAUCAGUGCUCUAGUGGGUGGAGCAGACCCUGGGCUAACAGGCCAGGGGAAGAACUCCAAUGGCAUAUGCCAGCGUCUGUCAGCAUGCCUGUACUAGGUCACAAUAAUGGCUGCCACCAAUGUCUCAGCCCCUGGAGAGGUCUCACCUCUCAUUGACAGGCAUCCAGAGCCUAUCAGGCCUAAUCACGCAGAACGUAAAUCCCUCAACACAGAGGCAGCAGCGAGGGCUGGGGCGCGAUCUGCAGGACUGCUCACGUUCAUCUUCCGGCGCAUAAUGAAAUCAAGAAUGCGCAUCAGCUCACCAGAGCUGCUCUCCUCCAAAUUGUUAAGACAGUCCAUCUAGUCUUCCACUUUCUGCCACCCCAUUCCAGCUAUGAUAUCUCAACACUUUCAGUGGACAUGUCCUCUCUGAGGACUUCUCUGAGCUUCCGUUGUUUGCCCAGUGUUUUUCAGUGCUGGAGCUGGGAGAGACUUCAAAGAUCAUUCAUCAGGAGAUCUUCAGAGCACAUACUCACCAGGCACUAGUCAGGUACCAGGAAUUCAGGAUGAGAUAAGAAAUAAUCCUUUCUCUCAAGUGGGGAGCAAGUUCCAGCUCCUCAUUUUACAGAUGACAAACCAAUUUGGCAACAUUUCUCAGCAGAGCCAUCAUGAAAAGGAACAUAGAGGAAGUUAAUAUAUAAUGACAGCAAAGAAUUUCUUCAAGAUGGGCAGGAUCGUUCAUCCAUGCAAGCAUCUUUAUAACACUAUGUGUCAGGUACUGUUCUAAGUAUUUCGUAAACCUUCCAGACAACACUGUGAGGUAUGUAUACCAGUAUUAUCACAAUUUUACAGAUGUAGAAAGUGAAGAACAGAGAAAUUAAAUAAAUUAAAUAACCGUGUGCCUAAGGUCACGCAUCCAGUAAACAGCAGACCUGAGAUUCUAACCCAAACAAUCUGGUUCCAUAGACCCGGUAUAUAACCACUACACUGAGGGACAGAAUCUUCUGGCUUUCCUUUAAACUGGAAUUUGACUCAGUGAAAUAGGCCUAGGAAAAAAGACAGAGGAAGGAAAAAGUGAAGGAAAGAGACACAGACUCAAGAGAAAAGAGAAAGGCAUGAGGAAGGACAGGAUCUUUGUAGGAGGGGCUAUGAGGUCGGGGAGAGGAAUCUGGCCAGAAAAGUAACAGUCACCCUAAAAUGCACCUGGGCAGGGAGCUUCCUUCAAGAAGACUGUUUCUCCAUUCAGUGACCCUGAAGGAGAGGGAGAUUUUGGACAAACAAACUUAUUCCAGGCGAGAGACAGCUAUCAUCAGAGAGACCAUUAUUGUCCAUGGUGGUUUAUAGGCCAUAGAUCAUGCUGGUCCAGGUUCCAAGGGAGCAGAUCAAUGUGCAGGAAAGGGACAGGGCACUCAUUCCUUAUUGUCUGAGCACCAAGUGUGUGUCAGAUUUGGGAAACUAUAUAAAAAGACAUAGUUCUGCCCUUAAGGUACUUACAGGCUGGUAGGGGAGGAAGACUGAUGAAUAGAAAAGUAAAAUGUCUUAAUCCUGAGAGGUGAUUAGGUACCAGGUAAGCUCUGAGAUUGCGUCCAGUGAUUCCCUGCCUCUUGGUAUUCACAUCCAUGUGUGAUCCCUUCUUUUUGAACGUGGGUUGGAUUUGCAGACUCAUUUUUAAUGAAUAGCAUAUAGCAGUAGUGAUAGGAUUUCACAUUUGAGAUUGGGUUGUAAAAAGACUGUGACACGUGACACCUCUCUCUCCUUCAUCACUUGCAUUGCAGGAAGCAAGCUGCCACAUUGUGAGCAGUCCCACGCCCCAAGGAGUGGGGAGGAACUGUGCCCUUCCAUAGAACAGCCCAUGAGGAAAUGAAACCUGUCAGCAACCAACCACAUGAGUGAGCUCAGAAGUGGAUCCUUCAGCCCCAAUUGAGUCUUGAGAUGACAGCAGACCCUGCUCACACUUUGAAUGCAACCUCAAGAAAGACCCUUAGGCAGAAGCACCCAGCUAAGCUGCUCCCAGAAACUAACCUGCUGGAGCUGAGAGGUGGAAUACAGCAUAAACCCUGGGGAAGCUGUGCCCAUCUUUCCAGUCCAGGGCUCAAUAUAUUCAAGUUGGUCCUUCUUUGUUUGCUUCCAUCUUCAAGUGGGAUAGUCUCAACCAGGGAAAGCCAUUCCUCUUCCUUGAUUAUCAUCCUUGGAGUAGUGCCCUGGCGCUAUCUGCCCUCACAGUUGCCUGGAGAAGUGAGAGGACCCAGAGGAGUAAGAUGGACCAAAGACUUUUCAAUUUCUGUUGGGGAAGAGGCUAGGAAUUGGGGAUGGUGGCCAAAGAGGGCCUAACUUUAUCAACAAAGUUCUGAUUAUUUAACCAGGAGAAUGUAUUUGUGUGUUAUUAAUGUAAUUAAAAAUUAAGCAAAGAAAUAAGGUGAACACUCUACGUCUUAGACACUAACAUAAAUGGAUGUACUGGAUACAGUAAAAUGCAUCGAACUGAACUAAACCCAAAAGACAAUAAAAACUUUGGUGACUUAUAAGAGAAAA
ensembl:lncRNA